rnacentral:RNase_P_RNA from 1 species
GAGUCGGCCAGACAGUCGCUGUGUCCUUAUUUGGGCAUAGAGGAAAGUCCGGGCUUCAUAGGGCAGGGUGCCAGGUAACGCCUGGGCGGUUGGGUGGUGACGCUUAACCGACGGAAAGUGCCGCAGAAAAUAUACCGCCGAUGGCCCUCGGGCACAGGUAAGGUUGAAAUGGUGCGGUAAGAGCGCACCGCGUUUCGGGCAACCGAAAUGGCAGGGUAAACCCCACUCGAAGCAAGGCCAAAUAGGGAUGCUGUGGCGUGGCCCGCGUCGCAUCCGGGUAGGCUGCUACAGGUGGCUGGCGACAGCCAUCGCAGAUGAAUGACUGUCCACGACAGAACCCGGCUUAUCGGCCGACUCU